GAUGAACGCUGGCGGCGUGCCUAAUACAUGCAAGUCGAGCGAACAGACGAGGAGCUUGCUCCUCUGACGUUAGCGGCGGACGGGUGAGUAACACGUGGAUAACCUACCUAUAAGACUGGGAUAACUUCGGGAAACCGGAGCUAAUACCGGAUAAUAUAUUGAACCGCAUGGUUCAAUAGUGAAAGACGGUUUUGCUGUCACUUAUAGAUAGAUCCGCGCCGCAUUAGCUAGUUGGUAAGGUAACGGCUUACCAAGGCGACGAUGCGUAGCCGACCUGAGAGGGUGAUCGGCCACACUGGAACUGAGACACGGUCCAGACUCCUACGGGAGGAAGCAGUAGGGAAUCUUCCGCAAUGGGCGAAAGCCUGACGGAGCAACGCCGCGUGAGUGAUGAAGGUCUUCGGAUCGUAAAACUCUGUUAUUAGGGAAGAACAAAUGUGUAAGUAACUAUGCACGUCUUGACGGUACCUAAUCAGAAAGCCACGGCUAACUACGUG
rnacentral:rRNA from 1 species